GAUGAACGCUAGCGAUAGGCCUAACACAUGCAAGUCGAGGGGCAGCAUAGAGUAGCAAUACUUUGAUGGCGACCGGCGCACGGGCGAGUAACACGUAUGCAACCUACCUACAUCAGGGGAAUAACCCGGAGAAAUUCGGACUAAUACCGCAUAAUACAGGGAUGCCGCAUGGCAAUAUUUGUUAAAGAUUUAUCGGAUGUAGAUGGGCAUGCGUUCCAUUAGCUUGUUGGUGAGGUAACGGCUCACCAAGGCAACGAUGGAUAGGGGAACUGAGAGGUUUGUCCCCCACACUGGAACUGAGACACGGACCGGACUCCUACGGGAGGCAGCAGUGAGGAAUAUUGGUCAAUGGACGAGAGUCUGAACCAGCCAAAUCGCGUGAAGGAAGACUGCCCUACGGGUUGUAAACUUCUUUUGUACAGGAAUAAAAGACAUUACGUGUAAUGUAUUGCAUGUACUGUACGAAUAAGCAUCGGCUAACUCCGUGCCAGCCGCCGCGGUAA
rnacentral:rRNA from 1 species